GACGAACCGUGCGAACGUUGUUCGGAAUCACUGGGCUUAAAGGGCGCGUAGGCGGGUGGCCAAGUCAGGGGGGAAAUCCGGCAGCUUAACUGUCGAACAGCUUCUGAUACUGGCCGUCUUGAGGGGGGUAGGGGCAUGUGGAACUUCCGGUGGAGCGGUGAAAUGCGUAGAUAUGACAUAGAACACCAAUUGCGAAGGCAGCUGGCUACACAAAUAUUGACACUGAGGCACGAAAGCGUGGGGAUCAAACAGG
rnacentral:rRNA from 1 species